rnacentral:rRNA from 1 species
CCUUCGGGGUACUCGAGCGGCGAACGGGUGAGUAACACGUGAGCAACCUGCCCCAGGCUUUGGGAUAACCCCGGGAAACCGGGGCUAAUACCGGAUAUGACCUUGCACCGCAUGGUGUUUGGUGGAAAGUUUUUCGGCUUGGGAUGGGCUCGCGGCCUAUCAGCUUGUUGGUGGGGUGAUGGCCUACCAAGGCGACGACGGGUAGCCGGCCUGAGAGGGCGACCGGCCACACUGGGACUGAGACACGGCCCAGACUCCUACGGGAGGCAGCAGUGGGGAAUAUUGCACAAUGGGCGGAAGCCUGAUGCAGCGACGCCGCGUGAGGGAUGACGGCCUUCGGGUUGUAAACCUCUUUCAGCAGGGACGAAGCGUAAGUGACGGUACCUGCAGAAGAAGCGCCGGCCAACUACGUGCCAGCAGCCGCGGUAAGACGUAGGGCGCGAGCGUUGUCCGGAUUUAUUGGGCGUAAAGAGCUCGUAGGCGGCUUGUCGCGUCGACCGUGAAAACCUGGGGCUCAACCCCAGGCCUGCGGUCGAUACGGGCAGGCUAGAGUUCGGUAGGGGAGACUGGAAUUCCUGGUGUAGCGGUGAAAUGCGCAGA